CACGAACCGUCCAAACGUUAUUCGGUAUCACUGGGCUUAAAGCGUGCGUAGGCGGCUUGGUAGGUGAGAUGUGAAAGCCCACGGCUCAACCGUGGAAUUGCGUUUCAAACCCCCAAGCUCGAGGAAGAUAGGGGUGAUGGGAACUUAUGGUGGAGCGGUGAAAUGCGUUGAUAUCAUAGGGAACACCGGUGGCGAAAGCGCAUCACUGGAUCUUUUCUGACGCUGAGGCACGAAAGCUAGGGUAGCGAACGGGAUUAGAUACCCCCGUA
rnacentral:rRNA from 1 species